rnacentral:misc_RNA from 1 species
AAAAGUUCUACCUCCUUCAUUGACACAAGCACAAUAUAUAUAUAUACACAAGAGCUAUAGCUCACCAAAUCUCCUAAACAAGGUAAACUCCUAAAACUGUACAAUAAGAAAUCUCCUAAACAAGGUAAACUAUCAAAACUUUACGAAAAAAAAAUUAUUCACAAAACUACCUAAACCAAUUAGCUGCCAAGAUCUUUCCUACUUGAUCCAAUACCCCCCUCAAGUUAGAG